ACUGAAUGUAAUGGCGGACGUGUAUAAUACAGCGAGUGCAUAAUGUGUGAAAUUACAGUGAAGCAGAAUACCUACAGACCAUGAAGUUGAGAAAUGCAGAGAUGCAGCUGUAAAUUGUUUAAUACACUGUAUGUGGGGAAAACAUAGUGGAUAUGAAGCAUAGAAAUCAUGUGUCAAUGUGAAGUAACAGUAACACAGAAUGGCCAGAGACCAUUAACUUAAGAACUGAAGAGAUACAGGUCAUUGUUCUAUAUGGUGAUUGGUGGAACCAUGGUGCAGAUUUGAAUUGAUAAGGUA